rnacentral:rRNA from 1 species
UGGGGAAUUUUGGACAAUGGGCGAAAGCCUGAUCCAGCAAUGCCGCGUGUGUGAAGAAGGCCUUCGGGUUGUAAAGCACUUUUGUCCGGAAAGAAAUCCUUGGCUCUAAUACAGUCGGGGGAUGACGGUACCGGAAGAAUAAGCACCGGCUAACUACGUGCCAGCAGCCGCGGUAAUACGUAGGGUGCAAGCGUUAAUCGGAAUUACUGGGCGUAAAGCGUGCGCAGGCGGUUUGCUAAGACCGAUGUGAAAUCCCCGGGCUCAACCUGGGAACUGCAUUGGUGACUGGCAGGCUAGAGUAUGGCAGAGGGGGGUAGAAUUCCACGUGUAGCAGUGAAAUGCGUAGAGAUGUGGAGGAAUACCGAUGGCGAAGGCAGCCCCCUGGGCCAAUACUGACGCUCAUGCACGAAAAGCGUGGGGAGCAAACAGGAUUAGAUACCCUGGUAGUCCACGCCCUAAACGAUGUCAACUGGUUGUUGGGAAGGUUCCUUCUCAGUAACGUAGCUAACGCGUGAAGUUGACCGCCUGGGGAGUACGGCCGCAAGGUUGAAACUUAAAUGAAUUGACGGGGUCAU